GUGCAAAAGUAAUUGCAGUUUUUGCCAUUAAAAGUAAUGGCAAAAACUGCAAUUACUUU
rnacentral:miRNA from 1 species